AGAAUCAACGCUGGCGGCGUGCCUAACACAUGCAAGUCGAACGAGAAAGGGUAGCAAUACCUGAGUAAAGUGGCGCACGGGUGAGUAACACGUGACUAACCUACCCUGGAGUGGGGGAUAACUGAGGGAAACCUUAGCUAAUACCGCAUAACACCUACGGGUCAAAGGAGCAAUUCGCUUCAGGAGGGGGUCGCGGCCGAUUAGUUAGUUGGCGGGGUAAUGGCCCACCAAGACAGUGAUCGGUAUCCGGCCUGAGAGGGCGCACGGACACACUGGAACUGAAACACGGUCCAGACUCCUACGGGAGGCAGCAGUGGGGAAUUUUGCGCAAUGGGGGAAACCCUGACGCAGCAACGCCGCGUGGAGGAUGAAGUACUUCGGUACGUAAACUCCUUUCGAUCGGGACGAUAAUGACGGUACCGGAAGAAGAAGCCCCGGCUAACUUCGUGCCAGCAGCCGCGGUAAUACGAGGGGGGCAAGCGUUGUUCGGAAUUAUUGGGCGUAAAGGGUGCGUAGGCGGUUUGGUAAGUCUCUUGUGAAAUCUAUGGGCUCAACUCAUAGACUGCAAGGGAAACUGCCGGGCUCGAGUGUGGGAGAGGUGAGUGGAAUUCCUGGUGUAGCGGUGAAAUGCGUAGAUAUCAGGAGGAACACCUGUGGCGAAAGCGGCUCACUGGACCACAACUGACGCUGAUGCACGAAAGCUAGGGGAGCAAACAGGAUUAGAUACCCUGGUAGUCCUAGCCCUAAACGAUGACUGCUUGGUGUGACGGGUACCCAAUCCCGUCGUGCCGUAGCUAACGCGUUAAGCAGUCCGCCUGGGGAGUACGGUCGCAAGGCUGA
rnacentral:rRNA from 1 species